GGAGGGGCGGGAGGGGAGCGGGCCGGUCAGAAAGGGACUCCUUCAAGCUGGCUGCAGUGCGGACGGGACCAGCGCGCUCUCGGAGCCUGCGGACCGAGGUAGUCAGACCUGUCCUGACAGCCGGAGGCCUACGUGAGGGGUGGCCACGGAAGGAGGGGGUCUCAGAGGCCACAGGAACUGAAGAAUCUGAACACAUGAGCUCCGGAGUCCCCGAGAGACAGAGAGAGAGAGAAGGCAUGAGCAGGGGAGAGAGACAGAGGGAGAGGGAGAAGCAGAUUCCCCGCUGAGCUGGAAGCCUGACACAGGGCUCAAUCCCAGGACCCUGAGAACAUGACCUGAGCCGAAGGAGGAUGCUUAACCAUCUAAGCCACCACAACAGCAGCCUUUAAUUGGAGUGUUUAAUCAAUUUCCACUUAAUGUAAUUUCUAAUAUAGUUGAGUUUAAGUCUAUCAUCUUGUUAUUUGGUUUCGAUUUGUCUUAUCAGACUUUGUUCCUUUUCUCCUCCUUCUUUUAUAAUAACUAGUAUUCUGUAGCACAGUCUUAAUCUUCUAUUAACUUUUAACAAAACUGCUUGAUUUUUAUUUUUUCUGUU